UGGGGCUGGCCCGGCGGGCUGAGGCUUCGGUUUCACUUUGCUGUCACCGGACUUCACUUUCGGGCAGAGCCACAGCGGCGGAACGAGGGGUGGAGAGAGCACGGGGCGGCCGUCAGCUGCUGGACGUCUGGACUGCUUCCAGCCCGGGCUACCGUGAAUCAUGCUGCUGUGAACAAGGGCAGGUGUUGAGGUGACCAACACAAAGUGUUGAUGAGAGCGUGUCCGCCCACAGUUGGCCCGGCGGUGAACCCGGAAGGUCCCCACUGAGGACACCAGAGGCUCCCGGAACCUCAGGGGCUGGCGGACACAGGGCAGGGGCCAGGCGGGCCCGAAAGCGGUCCCUUCCCUGUAAGGCAGAGGGUUGCAGGGCUAUGGUGAGCUGAGCAGACCAAAGGGAGAGGUGGGGAAGGGAGGGGAGAGGCCGGGAGGGGAAAGAGGGUGGCACAGGGGUUUCCUCCUAGCCCACCUGGGCCGGUGGCCCCCCUGCACCUGUGCCUGUGUCCUGCCCCACCUUGGGCACGGCGUCCCCAGGCAGGGAAGGAGACGGAGAAAUCACAGUUACAGUGUCCGAUUCCGUCAUCCGGGAGCCACCUGCUAGUUGUUUGUUUAUUUUCUUUAAUGUUUAUUUAUUUUUAAAAACUCUUCUAAUAUUUAUUUAUGUUAGACAGAGACAGACAGAGCGCAAGUGGGGGAGGG